ACGCUGGCGGCGUGCCUAAUACAUGCAAGUAGAACGCUGAAGAGAGGAGCUUGCUCUUCUUGGAUGAGUUGCGAACGGGUGAGUAACGCGUAGGUAACCUGCCUUGUAGCGGGGGAUAACUAUUGGAAACGAUAGCUAAUACCGCAUAACAAUGGAUGACCCAUGUCAUUUAUUUGAAAGGGGCAAAUGCUCCACUGCAAGAUGGACCUGCGUUGUAUUAGCUAGUAGGUGAGGUAACGGCUCACCUAGGCGACGAUACAUAGCCGACCUGAGAGGGUGAUCGGCCACACUGGGACUGAGACACGGCCCAGACUCCUACGGGAGGCAGCAGUAGGGAAUCUUCGGCAAUGGGGGCAACCCUGACCGAGCAACGCCGCGUGAGUGAAGAAGGUUUUCGGAUCGUAAAGCUCUGUUGUAAGUCAAGAACGAGUGUGAGAGUGGAAAGUUCACACUGUGACGGUAGCUUACCAGAAAGGGACGGCUAACUACGUGCCAGCAGCCGCGGUAAUACGUAGGUCCCGAGCGUUGUCCGGAUUUAUUGGGCGUAAAGCGAGCGCAGGCGGUUUGAUAAGUCUGAAGUUAAAGGCUGUGGCUCAACCAUAGUUCGCUUUGGAAACUGUCAAACUUGAGUGCAGAAGGGGAGAGUGGAAUUCCAUGUGUAGCGGUGAAAUGCGUAGAUAUAUGGAGGAACACCGGUGGCGAAAGCGGCUCUCUGGUCUGUAACUGACGCUGAGGCUCGAAAGCGUGGGGAGCGAACAGGGUUAGAUACCCUGGUAGUCCACGCCGUAAACGAUGAGUGCUAGGUGUUGGAUCCUUUCCGGGAUUCAGUGCCGCAGCUAACGCAUUAAGCACUCCGCCUGGGGAGUACGACCGCAAGGUUGAAACUCAAAGGAAUUGACGGGGGCCCGCA
rnacentral:rRNA from 1 species